UACGGGGGGGGCAAGCGUUGUUCGGAAUUACUGGGCGUAAAGGGCUCGUAGGCGGCCAACUAAGUCAGACGUGAAAUCCCCUCGGCUUAACCGGGGAACUGCGUCUGAUACUGGAUGGCUUGAGGUUGGGAGAGGGAUGCGGAAUUCCGAGGUGUAGCGGUGAAAUGCGUAGAUAUCUGGAGGAACACCGGUGGCGAAGGCGGCAUCCUGGACCAAUUCUGACGCUGAGGAGCGAAAGCCAGGGAGCAAACGGG
rnacentral:rRNA from 1 species